rnacentral:misc_RNA from 1 species
GAUUUCUCCAAGAGGAUUACUGGUACACAUUCUAUACAGUUUUGGGUUCUGCAUUUUACUAUUUUAUCUUUCUUUGUUUAUUGAUUCUGAUUGAUUUCUUGUAUGGAAGCUUUUGUUGGUCGAGUGCUCUUUCUGAGUUUAUACGCUAUAUGCUAUUUCUUGAGGAAUUUUUCCUUAGUUUCUUCGCAUUGGAUGAAUUGUUAUGACAUGGGUCGGAUCGAGUUUAUAUUAAUUUGGUUGCUGUUCUACGUUCUUUACCAAUUGGUGUUGAACUUGUCUUUUAAAAUGGAGUUUGCAAAUGAAUUGCUUUAUUGUAUAUAUGCGUUUCUUUCCUUGUAUCAAUUCAUUCAAUUGGUUGUAGUGUUGAGCUUGUGUUUAAUUUUUAUAUUGAUUCUGUUCCUUCACAGUGUCAUGCUUUGGUGUUCAUUACUGCACUAGCUAGGUAUAUUAUGUUUCUGAUAGAAUUUCAGGUCAUGGGUCAAGUCCAGUUUUCUCUUAUUAGGUUGUUAAUUUGACGGGUGAUAGUGGAUAGCUUCUUAUAAUGCA